rnacentral:rRNA from 1 species
UACAGAGGUCUCAAGCGUUUGUUCGGAUUCAUUGGGCGUAAAGGGUGCGUAGGCGGCGCGGUAAGUCGGAUGUGAAAUCUCGGAGCUUAACUUCGAAACUGCAUUCGAUACUGCCGUGCUUGAGGACUGGAGAGGAGACUGGAAUUUACGGUGUAGCGGUGAAAUGCGUAGAUAUCGUAAGGAAGACCAGUGGCGAAGGCGGGUCUCUGGACAGUUCCUGACGCUGAGGCACGAAGGUCAGGGGAGCAAACGGG